GCCCCCGUGGCCUAGCGGUUAGCGCAGCUGUCCCUCAUUUUUCCAUCCCGGGUUCAAACCCCACCGGGGUCA